rnacentral:rRNA from 1 species
AUUGAACGCUGGCGGCAGGCCUAACACAUGCAAGUCGAACGGUAACAGGAAACAGCUUGCUGUUUCGCUGACGAGUGGCGGACGGGUGAGUAAUGUCUGGGAAACUGCCUGAUGGAGGGGGAUAACCACUGGAAACGGUAGCUAAUACCGCAUAACGUCGCAAGACCAAAGAGGGGGACCUUCGGGCCUCUUGCCAUCGGAUGUGCCCAGAUGGGAUUAGCUAGUAGGUGGGGUAACGGCUCACCUAGGCGACGAUCCCUAGCUGGUCUGAGAGGAUGACCAGCCACACUGGAACUGAGACACGGUCCAGACUCCUACGGGAGGCAGCAGUGGGGAAUAUUGCACAAUGGGCGCAAGCCUGAUGCAGCCAUGCCGCGUGUAUGAAGAAGGCCUUCGGGUUGUAAAGUACUUUCAGCGGGGAUGAAGGGAGUAAAGUUAAUACCUUUGCUCAUUGACGUUACCCGCAGAAGAAGCACCGGCUAACUCCGUG